AGCCGCGAGCCUCCCGGAAGCGGUUCAUCCGCAGCGGCCGCCCCGCCGCCAUGGCGCCGACGUCGCGUUCCCGCAGCCCGCCGGCCGCCAGCCCCGAGCGCCGCGGCCGUAGGUCGCGUUCCCGGUCCCGGUCCCGGUCCCGCGAGCGCAACGGCCUGAAGCGCCCGAGCCACCGACGGAGCCGCAGCUGGUCCCGCUCCCGCGAGCGCACCCCCGGCGGGCCGCGCUCCGCCGCGCACCACGGCCACCACCACGGCAAGGCCUGGCCCGAGUACUACGAGAAGGAGAAGGAGGAGAUCCUGCGGCAGAGGAGACUCAAUGAGAGAGAGAGGAUUGGAGAACUGGGAGCACCUGAAGUCUGGGGACUGUCACCAAAGGUUCCUGACCCCGAUUCUGAUGAGCAUACACCGGUAGAAGAUGAAGAGGCAAAAUCUAAGAGUAGUUCUUCAGAUUCCAGCUCAGAAGAGGAAAAAAAGAAAAAGAAGAAGAAAAGAAAGAAGAAAAAGCGGAAGGCAUCCAAAAGAAAACGCAGAAAACAUUCUGAGGACAGCGACAGCGAGUCAGAGUCUGAGCAGAACUCCAGUGAUGAAGAUAAAAAGAAAAGCAAGAAGAAGAAAAAGAAGAACAGAAAGAAGAAGUAUAAGAAAAAGAAGAAUAAGAAGAGCAGGAAGGAAUCCAGUGAUUCAAGUAGUGAAGAUUCUGAUGAUGAAACUUUUCAAGGGGAAGAUCUCUGGAUUGAGAGAUCAAAAAAUACAGAAGCUGAUAGCUUGAUUGGACCAGAAGCUCCCAAAACUCAUGCAUCGCAGGAUGAUAGGCCUUUGAACUACGGACAUGCCCUCUUGCCUGGUGAAGGUGCAGCAAUGGCAGAGUACGUAAAAGCAGGAAAACGUAUACCCCGGAGAGGUGAAAUCGGCUUGACCAGUGAAGAGAUCGCAUCGUUUGAGAGCUCUGGUUAUGUCAUGAGUGGCAGCAGACAUCGCCGAAUGGAAGCUGUGCGUCUGCGUAAAGAGAACCAGAUUUACAGUGCAGAUGAAAAGAGAGCUCUGGCAUCCUUCAACCAGGAGGAAAGGAGGAAACGAGAGAACAAGAUCCUUGCGAGCUUUCGAGAGAUGGUCUACAGAAAGACUAAGGGCAAAGAGGAAAAGUAAUUCUUCAUUUGAACAGUACACCAUAGAUUCUACCAAGCAGCAGCUAACCUGUUCCAGUCAUGAUUUGAAAAAAGCUGCAAGUGCUGCAGUGCCUUUCACCCAACAGGGCCAAGCCUCAGGAGUGGAUUACUUGUGUCAAGGAAACACAGUUACUUUUGUCAGAUUUUCUUGGAUGAUAUGUUCACCAUCUACAAGGAAUCCCUGUAAAGUGAAAGGCUACAAGGCAGAGAAGGCAGGAACAGGCAGGGAAGAUUACAGGUGGCGAUGUUCUGCAUUCGCUUUGAAUCUGACAAGCAGAAGGAUUCCAUGGGAGGGCUUUGUUACCUGAUGUUGAUAAGUGGGAUUUUCCAUUUAUUUUUGACUAAUGAGAGUAGACUGGCCACCAGAAGCAAGCUACUAGUAACGUUAGCAAAAAUGAAGGAACUCUUAAGUUCCUGUUUAAGAUCUAAGACUGUCCACUUAGAUAUUUUUUCAUAAGUCUUUUAGAUUUAUUUUUUUUCUCAAAACAGUUGAGUUUGGUUUGUGGUUCAAACUAGACUUGUAAAUAGAAAUGUGUUUGUUAUUUAAUACAGAUGAGCUUCAGUUACUUUAAAGCAAGCAGAUCAUAAUUGGGGUAUAAAGUAACUGUAAUAGUAAUAGCAGGGUCUGAUCUUCAAUCCACCGAUGCCCGUGGUGAAGAACUAGGUUGCUUGCUUCUUUUUCUCCUAUGUUAUACAUAGGUAUCAGAGCAGUGGGGUGCAGUGAUUGGCACCCCUGGAUGUAUACAGGUGGUAACAAGGGAUGUGUCUUUCAAUUUCUUUGAAAUUUUUUUUGUCUAUGGAAGUGUUCUAGAUUAAAGCUUAAAUGCUGUGGUAUUUUAAUUUGGUCUGUUUCAGCAGCAACGUAUGGCUGUCUUUAAACUCUGUACUCAGAGGCCUACUCCAGGUAGUGCUUCUGUGGUGGUUAUCUUUGAUUCAACUGCAUAUUUCCAAAUAUACUCCCCUCAGCUGCCUUUUCUUCAAAUGCUUUUAAAAACAAAGUGUUUUCUAGAGGGUGGGGUUUUUUUUUUUUGUUCCCCUAAAUCUCUGUGUUGUAGUUUUGGCAGCAGAGAUGUCUUGUAUGUUUGUACAAAGAAAAUAAAAGUCCUAUAAUGUUCACCCUGGAGUUCUGCAGACCUGGCAUUCUCAAACAGCAAGUCCAGCCAGCUGCCUGUUCCCAUUUACACUCUGGAACCUGGUUCCAUCCUGCCGUACCCACCCGCACCUGCAGGGGACCAUCAUGUAAAGCCAGCUGCCAGGUCAGGCCGUAGUUGAUUUUGCACAGAUUUAAUGCUUUUUAUGUAUCCACAAAGUAGAAAUGCUGAUAAGAAAGAGUCAUUCUUUCUUCAUUGUGUUUAUCUGAUUCUCCACAAAAUACUAAUGGAGUGUUGGUGAUAGUUAAUUGGAGCUGUUCAUUAGAAAGUAAGUCUUUCCAUGAGGAUUAUUUUAUUUUCAAUUAUGUCCUUAAGCCACUUUUCUCUAAACUGACACUGUUCUGGCCUGGAGGAUGGAAUAAAAAGAGGGUAAAUUGUAAGAAUAAUAUUGAAUCCAAGCUGACAGCUGGCCUUUAUUCACAGGGCAAGGCUGUCUGCUGAAAAAAAGACACCACCUAAACCUGUGUAAACCCAGGACAGAUUCAUUAUGGAGAAGGCAGAUGCUCACGGGGCAGCUAUCCGUGCUUGUGGUGGAGUGAAGCUAAUGAUAAGCAGGGUCAUUUGGUUUUGUGUAGCAAGAUUUUGACAGCUUCCUCCACCUCUCUGCUAUUAUUGCAAACUUAUUUACAUCAAGCUCCCUGUUUGUUUUUGGCAUGGAAAAGCUUGCUAGAACCUCCUGAGUUGUGUCAGUGAUGGAAGAGUAAUAACUUUUACCUGUGAAUCAGCCUGCUGGACUCCAGAGUGAAGAAUACACUCUGCAAGAGAGCAGAGACAGCACGGAGUUCACAUGCAGGACCUCAAACAGCAGACAUUUUAAUUAGGCAGUGGGCAGCUGUGCAGUUAUUGGUUGCCAGCUGGGGUUAAAUCACGACAUCUGUGGACUGCUACUUGGGGACCCAUAGCCACUGCAACAUAUUACGGUACAGGUGACAAACUUCAGGCCGAUCUGGAAAGGGGUUCUGAGACUGCACGAAGAGCAGCGGGCCAGUCUCCCUCUACAGAUCCCUCGUUCCAUAAUUCUCCUCCACUCAGCCCUGCUUAGAGCUGCCCAGAGCAAUUGCUGUUGCUUGGAAGGGGAAGACGGUAUGAGCAGGAAAGCAGAUGUGGGAUCCUGCCAGAUUCUCUGUCAUGUUUCUGCCAGUCUCCACAAUUUGGAAACUAAACCAGCCUCCUGCUCUGUGCUCUGCCAACCACAGACUCCGUCCAGCCUGUUGCACAGAGGUGCCGUAGGCUCUGAACACCAGACAGACACAGAGCCCUUCAGAGGGAAAAGACCACGGAUGUUACAUGAGACAAGCCAGAGAUGUUUUAGCAGAAGGCAGCGUGCCGAAUCCCCAGCAGCCACUCUUCCAGGAUUACAAGGGGCUGUUACAAGGCUUCAGCUACUGGAGGAGUAAAUGAGCAAAGUGUAGGUUCUAGUCCUUGUGGUCUGAAAGAGAUGCUUACUGCUUGAAGGUGAAAGGAGGUAGUGAGACCAAUGGGAACCUGGUUUAGGUUUGUGCAAGAUAGGAGAACAAAUAUCAACAGGUAAUACCACCUGCGAGAAAGAGCAGUGAAACUUUCCUUUGCUCAUUGCGCCCUUUGUUCUGUUUCUUACGGGAGUUUUCCUCAUUUGGUUUCAUCCCCUCAAUAACAAAAUUGGGAAGAACAACUGCAACGUAGGUGUCUGCUUGGAAAGACAGAUGAGAGAAAAGGAGCCUGAGGACUCUGGCAUAGGAGUUGUGCCGAAACACGGGGAAGCAUCUGAGGUGGAACUGGUCAACAGGUUGGAAAAUGGCUUAGGAGCUGAUGGAAGGUCUUGUACUGGAACCGUUGGGGAGGCAAGGCCUGGGACGCAGACCCCUGAGGAGCUCUAUGCGUGACAGAUGAGGCCCACUCAUUUAUUGCAUCUCGUGCAACAAAGGGAGCUUCUUCCAGCUGCUGCUCAGGACAUGCUGUAGGGUGAGCACAGCCCAAGGCACAGUGUCAAACAGAAAAGGCCUCUUCUGAGCCCAGAAAUUCUCCAUGGGACAUGCUCACCUGGGCAGGAAGAGUCUCACAAGAGCUGUUCAGGGCCCCUUGGUAUCUGGCAGGAUUACAGCAAUCCCUGCCUAAAGCAGCCCUGGUUUGCUUUUCAGCUGUCUGUGUAUUUUAGGAGAGGUGCUCAAGGCUAGUGUGAGCCCUGGAAGCCUGUCUCCUCCUCUGCUUCUCUCCUGAUCUCCACAUAUUUUCCCUCUCUUAUUUCUCAUCCUCCUGAUCUUCUCUUCCUGCUAGUUCUUCUGUCUCUCCAGCCAGCACUGUAGCUGACUAGCUGCUGGUGAGUGCUUUGGGCUGGUUUUUCAUUGAUUCCCAAGCUCUUUUCAGCCCUUCAGAAAACUGGGACCUUGACAAGCUGUCAGGAGCCAGACCCCAGGCUGACCACAUCUAGAACGCAUGAGCAGCUGGACAGCUUAAUUUAACCACAGAGGCUCGUCUCAGAGCCUGAAUAGAGUCCCAUGGAGCAGUGUGAGAUGUAUCUGUCCCUGCCCAGUGACACAAGCUAUGAGUUACGGUUCAGGACUACUGCUAGACUAUCAGAAACACUUCAUCCCAACCCAGCUAAUCAGCAGAGGAAUUCAGAUGCAAAUUUCUGUGUCUGAACUUGCUGUUAUUCAUGCAGAUGUAGAUCCAGAAGAAUUCUGUUUACGUUGGUGUAUUUUUUUUUCUGCAAUAUUAUUACUUUUUCAAUAUGGCUCCAAGCAAAUAGAGGGAAGUAUAUUACAGAGGCACUUGCACAGAGCAGAGAAACGGACUUAAUUACUUACAGUCAACAGAAAACAACCUCUGGCGCUGCUGGGCAUCCUCGGCUCUCACUGGCUGCAGAACAGUGAAAGGGUAUUUUGCUGCUGGCCCAGCUGCUCUGCCCAGCUGAGUAAGUGUAACUUUCCAGUCACAGGGCUGGAAGUCUCAGAAAUUUCUCUGAUUUGCAUGACUCUGCACCUUGUUCACUCCGUGGUUAUUUGUGGUUGCUCCACACCCCGUGCCCCACAGUGAAUCAGUGUUAAUGGUACUGACACAAGAUCUACAUUUCACUCUCUUAUUUGCCAUACUUUAACAAGCAGAAAAGUGAGAGUCAUUGUUUAUAGCGGAUUUAGGAUAUAGCAGAAGCAGUUUUCAGCUGUAUUGUAAGUUAAAACUGCUGAAUAUUACUGUGGUGGGUGGGAAGAAUUGCAAGCUGCAGGAGGUGACUGGCUGUUCACGCAGACUGCUGUGCAGUCAGUAGGGUCGCUACAGGGAACUGCAGGUCAGCAGAAGUGGGCACAAAAAUAGGAGCAGUCCUGCUGUCUCUCUGCAGUUUGCUAGUACUUAAUAUUGCCGAUGCAUCUGUAAUGGCAGUUUUAGGGUGGUCCUCUUCGCAUUCCUUUUCUUCCUCUCACAGACAUCUGUGCAGUGUAUAUCAGAGUGCAUAAAGCAAGGAAACUAAUUCUGUCUGGAGCUUAUAUACAACUAUAUUGGGUUUGCAUGGCAAGGUUUUGGUAGCCGGGGGGUUGCAGGGGUGGCUUCUGGGAGAAGCUGCCAGAAGCUUCCCCCAUGUCCAACAGAGCCAAUGCCAGCCAGCUCCAAGAUGGACCCGCUGCUGGCCAAGGCUGAGCCCAUCAGUGAUGGUGGUAGUGCCUCUGGGAUAACGUAUUUAACCUGUGCAACACCAGGAGCAAUUGCAGCCAGAGAGAGGAGUGAGAAGAUGUGAGAGGAACAACUCUGCAGACACCAAGGGCAGUGCAGAAGGAGGGGGAGGAGGUGCUCCAGGCACUGGA